rnacentral:rRNA from 1 species
GGCCCUCUUCAAGCCCUAUAAUUAAUUUUAAUAUUCAACCCUUUAACCCCCUUAUUAAAUUAAAACAUUUUGACAAUUUAGUACAGGCGAUAAAAAAAUUUCUUAGAGCUUUAUUAACAGUACCGCAAGGGAAAGAUGAAAUAAAAAUGAAACAAUUCUCAACCAUAAAAAAGUAGAGUUUUUCCCUCGUACCUUUUGCAUCAUGGUUUAAUUAGUCUAACUAGGCAAAAUGAUUUUUAGUCUAGCCUCCCGAAUCUGGGCGAGCUACUUUAAGACAACUUUUUGAGCUAACCCGUCUCUGUUGCAAAAGAGUGGGGUGAUCUUACAGUAGCGGUGACAGACCUAACGAGCCCAGUGAUAGCUGGUUGCUUUUUAAAAGAAUUUCAGUUCAACUUAAAGUUACUUCUAUAUACAAAAAUAUUUCUACUUUAAAGUUAUUCAAAUAAGGUUCAGCCUAUUUGAAAAAGGACACAACCUCAACCACCGGGUAACCAUGUCAUCAAAUGUUAAAGUAGGCUUAAAAGCAGCCAUCUUUAUCAAAAGCGUCAAAGCUUACACAUUUUGAGACCCAAUUCCUAAAACCUUUUAAAACCCCUCAUCUCUAAAAAGCAACUCUAUAUUCCCUAUAGAAGAUUUUAUGUUAAAACUAGUAACAAGAAGCUUACCCUUCUCUUAAAUGUAAACUUAUAUCAGUAAGGACCAACCACUGAUAAUUAACGUCCUUAAUCUCAAAGUAUUAACUUCUCUAGAAAACUUUACUAACAUUUUCGUUAACCUAACACAAGAGCAUUCUAAGAAAGAUUAAAAGAAAAAGAAGGAACUCGGCAAAUAUCAGCCUCGCCUGUUUACCAAAAACAUCGCCUCCUGUAAACCCCAUAGGAGGUCCAGCCUGCCCAGUGAUAAAAUUCAACGGCCGCGGUAUCCUAACCGUGCGAAGGUAGCGUAAUCACUUGUCCUUUAAAUGAGGACUAGUAUGAACGGCUUCACGAAGGCUGCACUGUCUCCUUUUUCUAAUCAGUAAAACUAAUCUCCCCGUGAAGAAGCGGGGAUCCACCUAUAAGACGAGAAGACCCUAUGGAGCUUUAAACAAUUGUUUACACUUGCACUCAAAUUCUCAUUUAAUAUCUAACCAAGCAUUAUGUUUCUAGUUUUAGGUUGGGGUGACCAUGGAGAAAAACUUAUCCUCCAUAUUGAAAGAAAUUCUAUUUCUUAGCAAAAAGUUACAUCUUGAUGCACCAACAAAUUGACCUUAAUUGACCCAAUAAUUUGAUCAACGAACCAAGUUACCCUAGGGAUAACAGCGCAAUCCACUUCAAGAGUUCUUAUCGACAAGUGGGUUUACGACCUCGAUGUUGGAUCAGGGUAUCCUAGUGGUGCAGCCGCUACUAACG